AAAUUGAAGAGUUUGAUCAUGGCUCAGAUUGAACGCUGGCGGCAGGCCUAACACAUGCAAGUUGAACGGUAACAGGAAGCAGCUUGCUGCUUUGCUGACGAGUGGCGGACGGGUGAGUAAUGUCUGGGAAACUGCCUGAUGGAGGGGGAUAACUACUGGAAACGGUGGCUAAUACC
rnacentral:rRNA from 1 species